rnacentral:rRNA from 1 species
GGGGAGUAUGGUCGCAAGGCUGAAACUUAAAAGAAUUGACGGAAGGACACCACCAGGAGUGGAGCCUGCGGCUUAAUUUGAUUCAACACGGGAAAACUCACCAGGGCAAAAAACUGAUAUGAUUGACAGCUUGAUAGCGCUUUCUUGAUCCGGUAGCAAGUGGUGCAUGGCCGUUCUUAGUUGGUGGAGUGAUUUGUCAGGUUAAUUCCCUAAACGAACGAGACCUUAACCUGCUAAAUAGGUGCGUUUACUUUCUAGGCGUGACCUUCUUAGAGGGACUAUAGAUGUAAAUCUAUGGAAGUUUGAGGCAAUAACAGGUCCGUGAUGCCCUUAGAUGUCCUGGGCCGCACGCGUGCUACACUGAUGCAUGCAGCAAGUUACCUAACUCGAAAGGGGAUGGGAAAUCUUCACAAUGUGCAUCGUGCUUGGGAUAGAUCCUUGUAAUUAUGGAUCUUGAACGAGGAACUCCUAGUAAGCAUAAGUCACUACCUUAUGCUGAUUACGUCCCUGUCCUUUGUACACACCGCCCGUCGCUCCUACCGAUUGAGUGAUUCGGCGAAUGCUUCGGACCGGCUCAUUAGAGCUGGAAAGUUGUGUAAGCCAUAUCACUUAGAGGAAGGAUAAGGCGUAACAAGGUUUCCGUAGGUGAACCUGCAGAAGGAUC